rnacentral:rRNA from 1 species
AUUGAACGCUGGCGGCAUGCUUUACACAUGCAAGUCGAACGGCAGCACGGGGGCAACCCUGUUGGCGAGUGGCGAACGGGUGAGUAAUAUAUCGGAACAUGUCCGGAAGUGGGGGAUAACGUAGCGAAAGUUACGCUAAUACCGCAUAUGCCCUGAGGGGGAAAGGGGGGGAUCGCAAGACCUCUCGCUUUCGGAGUGGUCGAUAUCAGAUUAGCUAGUUGGUGGGGUAAAGGCCUACCAAGGCAACGAUCUGUAGCAGGUCUGAGAGGACGGCCAGCCAGACGGGGAGCGAGACACAGUCCAUACUCCUACGGGAGGCAGCAGUGUGAAAUUUUAGGUAAUGGGUCAACCCUGAUCCAGCCAAGCCUCGUGUGAGAAGAGGGCCUUCGGGUUGUAAAGCGCUUUCGGACAGAAAGAAAUCGUGCAUAAUGAUACUCUGUAUGGAUGACGGUACUGUAAGAAGAAGCACCGGCUAACUACGUGCCAGCCGCCGCUGUAA